GACGAACGCUGGCGGCGUGCUUAACACAUGCAAGUCGAGCGGUAAGGCCCUUUCGGGGGUACACGAGCGGCGAACGGGUGAGUAACACGUGGGUAACCUGCCCUCAGCUCUGGGAUAAGCCCGGGAAACUGGGUCUAAUACCGGAUAUGACCUCGUAUCGCAUGGUGCGGGGUGGAAAGUGUCAGCGGCUGAGGAUGGGCCCGCGGCCUAUCAGCUUGUUGGUGGGGUGGUGGCCACCAAGGCGACGACGGGUAGCCGGCCUGAGAGGGCGACCGGCCACACUGGGACUGAGAUAUGGCCCAGACUCCUACGGGAGGCAGCAGUGGGGAAUCUUGCGCAAUGGGCGAAAGCCUGACGCAGCGACGCCGCGUGAGGGAUGACGGCCUGGUGUAACGUACUUCUA
rnacentral:rRNA from 1 species